AAGAUUAUUCAUAUGUUGAUAGCUAUACUAGCACCAUUGGAGUAGAUUUUGUGAAUUUUAUUCUCAUAAUCCUUUAUAUAUGUUGAUGAGAUUACAAAAUAGUUUAGUUAUUUUCAGGUCUUUGGCUAUGUUUUUAUUGAGGUCUAAUGUUAUUAUCCAUAAUUACUGCAAAAAAUUAGGACUGUGGAGCUGGAUAGGAAGACAAUUAAGCUGCAAAAUGUGAGUUCAUUUGACUUGAUGACUACUCUAUAGUUGUGAACAUGAGUUAAUUUGACCAAAUGACUACUUUAUAGUUGUGAAAUUAUAAAAACAUCUAUAUGAAUAUUAUUUUAGUUGUAUGUACUAUUCCUUUACGAUGGUUUUGCUACAUGUAAGCUGUGCUUCAAGCAAAUAAAUUUCGAAAGGGAAAAAAAUGUUUUGGUUUGAGGUUGUGAGGAUAGUUAGGACUCAAUAUUUUUCAUAUUUUUAGUCUAGAUUUAAUUGAUUGAGUUACAAUUGACAUUUCUUGCUAUCGAUAUGGAAUGAUUGGCUAUUAGUCUUCCUUUUUUCCCCCCCCUGUAUGUUUAUCGCUCUUAGUUUUGUCUUUGAGAUGAAGCAAACAGAGAUGGGCAUUUUUCGACAAUCGUAAAGAUUUAUUGCAGAGAUGAAAGUUGUAAUAAACCUCUUGUUAACUUUUGCCAUAAUGGCUGCAUUUGGUAUGAAUUUCCCUGAGAUAUGAAGGCCCUUUGCUCAAAUAUAUCAGAUCCAAUGUAUUGAUGUACAUAAAAUAUUCAUAUCUGUUCUCUACUUUUUGCUUCUAUUGUGGAGAAGCGCAAGAUUGAAAGUGGUUUGUAAGAAUUUUUUUAUUUCUAAUUCAUGUUUCAUAAAAUUUUACGGGAUGUAUUUGCGCAACUUACUCGCAAAUGUGAAAGACACAUUGGCACCCAAUCUGAGGAAUGGGCCAGGUACUCUGAAUUCUGCCCGAAGUUUCUAGGAAUCACCUGUUUUGAAAUUUCUAUAAACAUUUCAAGAAUUGUUAGAUUGAAAUGGUGGCUGUACUUGUUAAUAUGUAAUGCUUGUUUCUUGUAAUCCUUGUAAUAUUUUUGUUAUCACGGUGAAGGUAUGUAUUUAUUUAGAACUUAAAUUUUGUAUUGAAGAAAAUAUUUUUUAAAAGCCAACCACAUGCAUAUUUGUGUUAUAUCUUUGCAUUGUUGAUGCCGUUGUGUGGUUCUUUUACUUGCCAGCAUUUAUAUGCCUUAUUUAGUUGAUCUUGGACGUUCUUACAUGUCCGCUGCAAGUGUCAUGUUCUAUCGGUUUCUAACAUUGCCACAGGAAUUUUUGGAAGAAAAACAAUAUAAUGCUGAAUAAAUCGAGAAAAUCAUUGUAGAAAAGUGUUAGUUUGAAGCUAGUUUGCCAAUUCUCCCUUUUCCUUGGAUGUGCUGAAAGCAGGUACGCAUUUUAAGUUACAACGUGUGAUUUCCUGUUCAAUUUAAACAUAUUGGUAUUUGAAUGGCAUCAGAAUAUGUAACUUGUUAUCCUUCUUAUUUUCUGGUUUAUAUAACUUGGAUGCUGGGAAUUAGAUUGUUUCAGCAACAAUAUCCUUUUUAUUAUUUUAAUCAAUGAGAAUUUGGUGGUCUUUCCUUCAGAUUGGGUGCUUUUAAUCAGUUAGAAACAUUUAAACACGUUCUUUAGGAUCUCUAGCGAAGGAGUUGUUGGUUGAAAGAAUUUGAGCAUUCUGAUCAUUUGGUCGUCAAUACGACAAUGGAGGCAUGUGGAGAUCUACCAAUAGGAGAGACGAGUCAUUGUCUGCCUUUCGUUGUAUGGCAAUGCGUGUAUGUGCAUUGCAUAUCUUUUCAUUUGCUGAUUAAAUAUCUGUCUGUACACAGACCUCUCUUUGUUGUACAUUAUAUGUUUUUGCUUUUGUUCAUUUUGUGAAAAAUUAUACAUUAUUAUAUUUUUAUAUCUUCGUUAUUACAUAGUCAACUAUACCGUAUCACGUGCCUUGCACGUGCAUCUUACUAGUAAGGGAGUUUUAGUUACUGUUCAUAAGCCGAAUGGCCAUAAAAACCAAGCGUUGUUCGAGUCAGCUGGUUAGCCAAGUCGUGGGAGUGGGUGGGUGUAAAAAGAUCUUCCGCUGGAUUGUCUAGAACAUUCGUUUCUUCUUAUUUCUCUCUGGGGUUUUCUAUGUUCUCUCUUGGGUAUCUCAUCUGGCUUCUUUUUCCUUUGUAGAUAUUUAUGGUUUAGUAAAUGGAGAUGAUAAUAAUAAUAAUUUGUGGUUGCGUUGUUUCUCUAGAUCUAUGAUUGUUAAUUACAGAUCUUUUAGUGACAAGAACACUCCAAUUUUUUGCCAAUCGAAAAAGAAGAUGAUGAUUUUGACCUACCCACAAAAGGCUCAGGCGUGGGCCGAUGGUUGAUGAGAAAAAGAUGAAGCCCAAGAACAAUACCUAGUGCCAUGUCGAUGAUGAGAUUGAGGAUUUCUCUCAGGAGGAGGAUAGGCCCUUUGGUAUCAAAAAUUCAAUUUUUGUCUUUGUUUAAGCUUUUAUUUUUUGUCGAAUAUAUGGAAAUGUGGAAAAUGAUAUGAUUUUGCAAUUCUCCAGUAUUUUCUAUUUUUGUUGUUUUAUAUGACAUUUUAGGUUGGUUAGUUCAACAACAAGGAUCUCUGUGAAGGGGAAAUAAAUUUUUUUAUUUCAUUUGGUUAGGAACUAUUAGAUUUGAAAUGGGAUGUGUGAAUAAAUGUUAGUUUUAGUUUACCAAUAGUCCGUGUUAUAUUGAGAUCACUUAAUGAAAUAAUUUUUUUUUUGUCAUUUGGUUAGGAACUAUUAGACAACUAUUAGAUUUGAAAUGGGCUAUGUGAAUAAAUGUUAGUUUUAGUUUACCUCUCCUCCGUGUUAUAUUAAGAUCACUUAAUUAACUCUAAUAUACACGAUCAUCUUUAGUUCUAUGCAAAAAAAUUCCAAUCUCAUGUAGCUCUUGCCUCUUUAGCGUGUGUUUUGUUCUUUUAUAUUCCAGGCAACUGCAUUAAAAUUUAGUGAAAGUAUGAUUUUCAUUGCAGUUGGCAAUUGCUAUUCUUAAAGGAGAACUUGAACUGCCACUGUCACUUUGAAUAAGUAGUAUUUGCGUUUUGAAAUACAGUAAUACUGCCAUUAGACACGGUUAGUGCAAAAUUUGUCCUUGUGAGUGUCGAUUGAUAUGCAGAAGACAAUAUAAUGUUUGGGAGAACCUCAAAAUAUGCUUAGCACAGAUAAUGCUUUUAGCAAUCUGAUGUCCUUUAUAUUUUUCUGUCUUGAUUAUGUGCCAAAAGUGCUACUUUUAUAUAUUGUUGUUAAUGGCCAAUGAUUUUUCUGUACUUUCUCUCAUGGAGCAAAGGGCAUGGAUUGCAUUUUCAUUUCUCUCCUUUUUUUUUUUCCCCUUAAAUUAAUCUUAAGAGGAGCUUGUUUACUUAGAAAGUGUUCUUAACAGAUGAAGAAAUUGGGAAUUUUCUUUAUACACGUCAGAU
rnacentral:lncRNA from 1 species